rnacentral:rRNA from 1 species
CCUACGGGUGGCAGCAGUGAGGAAUAUUGGUCAAUGGACGGAAGUCUGAACCAGCCAUGCCGCGUGCAGGAAGACGGCUCUAUGAGUUGUAAACUGCUUUUGUACAAGGGUAAACCUGAAUACGUGUAUUCAGCUGAAAGUACUGUACGAAUAAGGAUCGGCUAACUCCGUGCCAGCAGCCGCGGUAAUACGGAGGAUCCAAGCGUUAUCCGGAUUUAUUGGGUUUAAAGGGUGCGUAGGCGGAUUGAUAAGUUAGAGGUGAAAUGUCCGAGCUUAACUCGGGAACUGCCUCUAAUACUGUUGAUCUAGAGAGUAGAUGCGGUAGGCGGAAUGUAUGGUGUAGCGGGGAAAUGCUUAGAGAUCAUACAGAACACCGAUUGCGAAGGCAGCUUACCAAUCUAUAUCUGACGUUGAGGCACGAAAGCGUGGGGAGCAAACAGGAUGAGAUACCCGGGUAGUC